UUGGACCAGACAAUAUGAAGUCACAAAGACUCUCACAGACCAAGAUAUUUUCUAAAUGUUUUUCUUUCAAAUUAGUCAAAUGAUACUCUAUUGAAGCACAACUAAUCAAUUUAUAGUUAAAACGUGGGGCUCAUAUAACAGAUGAAAACUUUUGUAAACUUAUAAUUUUGAGCAACGGAGAACUUGAAAUCAACAAAGAAAUGAGCUCCUGCAAUCCUUCCACUCAGUUUUUGCGGGAUUCCCCAAGCUCCUUUACAGUUUUAAUGAAAUGGAGAAAAAGGAGGAGGAGGUGGACGAAAAGAAUGAUGAGGAGGUAAUGAUGAACCAUCCUUUCUCCAUAAUAUGCAUAACAUGGAGGGAGCCAUUCUGCUAAAAGACCUACUUCUUCAGGAGAAAUAAUUACAUUUAACAAAGGACAAUGACUAAUGCUAUUACUAUGAAUAUCUUUCAAGAUUGACAACUAGAAAAUCAUGGCAGAUAGAUUUGUAAACAUUAUCGCUUUGCACUGUGGGAAGCUUGCAAUUUGAUGCCUGAAGCAGCAGAAGCAAAGGAAUACAAGAUGAUACAUUAUUUAUUCUGAUAUUCAGUGGUCAUUUCCAUUUUCGUCACAAGUAUUAAUUUAAUGAGGUCACAUUACUAUGCUGCCCACCAACUCUGACAUGAGGGAACUGGAAUAUGAAAUAUUUUUAUUCUAUUCUGCUUCGUGACACCUUCUUGGGAGAUGUGAAGAAGUGUCCAUUCAUGGCAAUCAGAAAGACAUGGAUACUGCAAUGAAAGGAUAUAGAAAAACUUCCAUGAAGAUCCCUAACUCAAACAUCUAUUGCUUACAAAUCUUACAGGCAAAGUAAGACCAACAGUUUAAGUUAUGUCUAUUAUCUUGUUUAAAGCUUAAUAAAUCUUAAAUCAACAUU
rnacentral:sRNA from 1 species